rnacentral:rRNA from 1 species
AUUGAACGCUGGCGGCAGGCCUAACACAUGCAAGUCGAGCGGAUGAAGGGAGCUUGCUCCUGGAUUCAGCGGCGGACGGGUGAGUAAUGCCUAGGAAUCUGCCUGAUAGUGGGGGAUAACGUCCGGAAACGGGCGCUAAUACCGCAUACGUCCUGAGGGAGAAAGUGGGGGAUCUUCGGACCUCACGCUAUCAGAUGAGCCUAGGUCGGAUUAGCUAGUUGGUGGGGUAAAGGCCUACCAAGGCGACGAUCCGUAACUGGUCUGAGAGGAUGAUCAGUCACACUGGAACUGGGACACGGUCCAGACUCCUACGGGAGGCAGCAGUGGGGAAUAUUGGACAAUGGGCGAAAGCCUGAUCCAGCCAUGCCGCGUGUGUGAAGAAGGUCUUCGGAUUGUAAAGCACUUUAAGUUGGGAGGAAGGGCAGUAAGUUAAUACCUUGCUGUUUUGACGUUACCAACAGAAUAAGCACCGGCUAACUUCGUG